rnacentral:lncRNA from 1 species
GAACUGAACCAGAGUCAGCUUGCUCCAGUGUGCAUAUGGCAUGAGGUAAGCCAAUCAGAUAUUCUCUUCCAGGAGUUUGGAAUCAAGGUUCAGUGAUAGCAGGGGCUGGAACUGUAACUUGUGAGUGAGUUAACCCUCUGAGAGACUGGGUCCUGGUCUGGAGAAUCUUUGUUUGCUGACUCCCAAGAUAGGACAGGCAAUGCUGAGUGUUCACAUCCAGCUGUAGAAGCCAGGAGAAAGUUGGUGCCCCUGCAUGGAAGGGUUGAGAGAUUGAGGAGCCUGGUGGAAUUGGGUGCAGAAGGGGGUGACCCAGGAGCACACUGGAUGACGUAUUUAGAGUAGGGGCAAAAGAGAAGAACCCUAAUUAGAGGUGCUGCUGGGAAGAUUUGGAGGCAGAGAAUGGGUUUGAAGAAUUUGCCUGGGAGUAUGUAGGGUAACCCCUGCAUUGUCCUGCGAACUCCUCAGUAAAGUCAGAUGGGCCUCUUAUGUUUUGGUGAGUGCAGAGCCCUGUGUCCAUGCUUGUGUGAGACAAGAACAGGGGCUGGACAGGGGAACGGCUGGCAUUUGGGCUAAAUGGGCCAACUCAGAUGUUAUAGGAGGUACCUCUUGGCAGAGGAACAGAUAAAGCUGGACAGUAGAGAGAAAAGAAGAAAUAUGCCAUUAAGAGAGAAAUAAAGGUGAGAGAAAGAGUGAAAGUCUUGCUUUGUGGGUGGUGGUGAUGUCUUGUUAGCCACUAGUUCUGGUUCUAGUUCUGUCCUGAGGACUAGAUGGUCUCCUGCCCUUGCUUUCUGGGAGGCAUUCUUGUAUACUUAUUAUACAUUCUCUUUUUUAGUUAACCUAGCUCAAAAUUGGGUUCUGUUAAUAGCUAUCAAAAACCUUAAUAAUUACAAGAAAUCCAUAGCACCUAGAAUUUAAGUAAAUCGAGCCAAGUCCUGUGGCUACUUAGCAGUAGGAGCUGGGUUCAGACCCAUCUCCUAGCGCUCUCUCCAUCACACUCUGAGUGGCCACCCUGGCUGCCUCAUUGUUUUGCAAAUACACCGACCUCAGGAGCUCAUGCUGAUCCUAUUAGAGUUUGCUCCUCCUGUCACAAACAGCCCUAGAGGCCACUUCCUCACCUCAUUUAGGUCUCAAUUCUAAUGUCACUCAGAGAUACCUACCCUGACAACCUCAUCUAAAAUAGUCUCUAAAUUCUUUCUUGUAUACUUACUAUAAAUAUUAAGUUUCUAGGCUUUACAUAUUUAUUUAUUUUUACUAAAACUUAUUGCUACUAGAAUUUAUAUUGCAUGUUUAUUUGUAUACUUUUUUAUCUACCUCCCCCCGUCCCCACCAGAAUAUAAGCUCUUUGAGGUCUGGGAUCACCUUUCUUAUCCAUUGCUGUAUUUUCAGUGCACUGACUAGAACUGCACCUGGCA